GAGUUUGAUCUUGGCUCAGGACGAACGCUGGCGGCGCGCCUAACACAUGCAAGUCGAACGGAGUUUGUUGGAUCGAUCCUUCGGGUGAUUGAAAAUAAACUGAGUGGCGGACGGGUGAGUAACACGUGAGCAACCUGCCUUUCAGAGGGGGAUAACGUCUGGAAACGGACGCUAAUACCGCAUAACGUACCGAGUGGGCAUCCACUUGAUACCAAAGGAGCAAUCCGCUGAAAGAUGGGCUCGCGUCCGAUUAGGCAGUUGGCGGGUAACGGCCC
rnacentral:rRNA from 1 species